GGGACCAUAGCUCAAUGGCGGAGCAGGGGACUCAUAAUCCUUUGGUUGGGGGUUCGAAUCCCUCUGGUCCCACCA
rnacentral:tRNA from 2 species